GCCUGGGUGGCUCAGUCGGUUGAGCGUCCGACUCCGGCUCAGGUCGUGAUCUCACGGUUCGCGGGUUCGAGCCCCGCGUCAGGCU
rnacentral:tRNA from 1 species